CUUGCACUUCGGAAAGAAGGAGCUCUCCUUAGGCUGGGAGGGGCCAAGCCGCUGGCCCGUGAGCCUGGGGCAGCUCUGGACUGUGCUUGCUGUCCUUGAGGAGAAUGCAGCCAGCCCAGGGCAAAUCAGAGCCAGGCAGGAAGUGUUCCCUGUGAACCCAUGAGACUUCAUCCCUGCGUUGGUCUGGCUGGCUUUCCCUGUGAGAUACAGGUUCCUCCUGAAGAGCUGAAGCUCCAUUCCAGCUCUAGACUUCUCCUUGCUUUCAGACUUCAAGAUGAGAAGCAUUUUUCCAGUCCACAAGUGUUAGAGGACACUGCCGAUGAUGUGUGUUUUGCCCAGGCUGGACUCAGCUUCUUUGUCUCGUUUUGAAAGAAGAGUCAUGCUUCAAUUAAUAACAGACAACGGAGUCAAUAUGAAGGGAGCAGAGACAAUGAUGUGAUCAAAUGCCAAGAAAUGACUGACAGCAGAAAAAAUAUCAUGACCACUGUGGGAGGAGGUACUUUCUCUUUGUCAGAAGAACAGAAGCAAAUGGUCUGCUUAUAGCCUUUUAUGUGACGAUGUGCCCUUUCUGCCACUGCAAGGGAAAGAGUCAUCUUUGCUCCUCCAUUUUGGUUUAUCCUAAGAAAGACCAACACUAUGUCUAGCCCAGAGAGAGAAACACAUAAAAUAAAUACAAGUUAAAUCUUCAAUGGGACAUCAAGUUCCAUGUACAAGGCUAACCUAGACUAUAAAGUCCUUGAAGUAAGUGAAUUUAUUAUAUAUCUCUAUCACUGGACACACUGUUUGCAUGAAAUGAAGAGAAGCUUAAUAAAAGUGUCUUCAUAAUGACAAAGACAGGGAUGAUUAUUUGUAGAUACAACAUUUAAAGUAUAAAUACAGUUCAAGAAGAUUUGAUUCUAAUCGAAACACUUCCACCUAAAUAAGAAUCCUGAUGCAAAUAAUGACUAGUUUUAAAAUGACACCUUUUUUCAGACAUUACAAGCAAUGCUUAGUCGUUAAAUUAAAAAAUAAAUACCCCGUACGAUUUAAGAAGAAAAUAGAACACAUCUCUAUUCCCACCACUUAGCUAACAUUUGGUGUGCUUAUUCUCUCUGUCUCUGUCUGUCUCUGCCUGUCUCUCUCUUUCAUUCUCAUUCACUCCUGCCCUCACCUCUCUCUCUCUGUCUUAUCUACCUUUGUUUUGAUUUUACAAAUUUAAGUCCAUAUUCAUGCUGUACAUGAUUAAGGUUACACACUUAGUAUGUACACACUUUUUCACUUAUAUCAUGAACAUCUUUGUCAAACUUUUAGAAACAUUUUACCAGAGCCCUGUUUUGAAGACAUGAAAGUUGUUCUCUAUUCAUUUUUAAAUUAGGGAUAUAUCAUAUGUGGGUAUAUUUACACACAUAUUUUGGAGCACAUUUUAAAUUGUUUCCUUAGGAAAUAUUGCUAAAAGUAGAUUUAAAAAAAUAUUAAAGUGUUUGAUAAACAUUACUAUAAUAUCCUCCAGAAAGUCUGAACUAAUUUAAACUCCCAUUAACAACAUUUGUACAUAUUUCCAUUGCAACCUUGUUAAGAAAGUACUAUUUUGAUAAACAGACAAAAAGGAAAUCACACAGUUGUUUAAUUUGCAUAAAAUACUAAAUACUUUCUUCUU
rnacentral:lncRNA from 1 species